GUGCUGUAAGUGCUGGGAUUACAGGUGCCACUGUGCCUGGCCCCCUUUUCACUUUCCUGAUGGCACUGUUUGCAAUGCAAAAGUUUUUAAUUUUGAUGUAGUCCAGUUUAUUUAUUUAUUUUUCCUUUUCUUCCCUGUGCGUUUGGUAUCUUACCUAAGAAACUGCCUAACAUAAGGCCAUUAAGAUUUAGGCCUAUGUUUUCUUCUAAGAGUUUUAUAUUGUUAGCUCUUACAUUUAGGUCUAUGGCUCAUUUUGAGUUAAUUGUUGUGUUUGGUGUCAAGCAGAAGUCCACCUUCAUUCCACUCCAAGUAUUCUCUCCCUUUUCCGGUUUUUUUUCUUUCUUUUGGGGACAAUUUGUGAAAGCUAUCUUUCUUAA
rnacentral:lncRNA from 1 species